CCGAGUCCCAGCUCUUGGUUUGCGCCUUGGCCUCGGGAUCUUCCGGGUCCCACCGCGCGCUGCUCGCGGGCAAGCCGCUGGGCUCUGGCGCCUUGAGCAUCCGAGCAGGUCCUGCCCCCGCCGUAGGCGUGGGGACCUAGAGCUGCCCUCCGCUCCUUGUCCCGGGCCAGAGGCGGACACUAGGCGGUAGAAGCAGCUGCAGGGUCUGCCCUGCCCCCGCCCCGCGCGGAGAGCUGCUGCCAGGAACAGCAAUAUUAAUAGGAAUGUAGCAGUCCUUACGGCUUCACUUGGCCCUGUGACGCAGCUGAUUCAACACCACUUAAGUGGAGUCACUGGAUACAGCUUAGGCAAGCUCUACUGAGAACGACGCAGCCCACGCCUCCAGGGCUAGAGGACAAGUGUGUGGCGUGUUUGCAGAUGGCCAUCAAUUCGUGGCUGUGGGUCUUCAUCAGGCAGCCGGUGGGUCCUGCAUGCAUGGCCUCUCACUCACUGACAGCAGCAGUCUGUCACCCUGUGGAGAUGGCACAUGAGAGAUCUGCACUGGCAGGUGCAGAAGGCCCAGGUAAGCCGUGUGAGCAGGUGGCCUAGAUGCCUUCCAUGGCGGCUCUUGCUUCACUGACUCUUCCUGGGACCUCCGAGGUUGCUCCUUGGGAUCAAUUGGCUGAGAAGGAAUGAAUUCAAGCCUGGCUUACAGAUGGCACUGCAGGAUAUGCUGGCACCAACAGAAAGUGGGCAGCUGAAGCCCUCAGCCCACUCCAGGAGGACCUGCAUAACUUGGGUAACAGAAUGUCUUGCAGUGGGCAGAGCAUCAAGAGGCGCGCGUGUAUUUGUGUACUUGGCCUCAACUGAGAGACGGACGGAGGCAGGGAUCUACAAUGACUCGGCUGGCCAGUGAGGGAGGAAAACCACUGCUGUCAGGUGACCACCAGGCCUCAGGACAGAGGAUGUGUGUGACCGGAGCGCUCCAGAUAGGCACAGAAUGGGAAGAAGGAAAUUGUGUCACAGGUGUUUAUGAGUCAGCACUGAAAAAAUAAAAUAAAAUAAAAUAAAUGCCCGAGACAAUUAGGUUCAAAAGAAGAAAGGUAGGGGGAUCGAUGGCUCAGAGGUUAAGAGCACUGACUGCUUCUUGAGAGGUUCUGAGUUCAACUCCCAGCAACCAUGUGGUGGGUCGAACCCAUCUAUACUGGGGUCUGAUGCCCAAUUCUGGCAUGCAGGAAUACAUGCAAACAGAGCACUAUAUAGAUAAAUAAACAAGGAGAAAGGUUUAU
rnacentral:lncRNA from 1 species